AGAGUUUGAUCCUGGCUCAGAUUGAACGCUGGCGGCAUGCUUUACACAUGCAAGUCGAACGGGGUUAAGGGGCUUGCUCCUUAAUCUAGUGGCGAACGGGUGAGUAAUGCAUCGGAACGUACCCGGGAGUGGGGGAUAACGCACCGAAAGGUGUGCUAAUACCGCAUAUUCUGUGAGCAGGAAAGCAGGGGACCUUAGGGCCUUGUGCUUCCGGAGCGGCCGAUGUCGGAUUAGCUAGUUGGUGAGGUAAAGGCUCACCAAGGCGACGAUCCGUAGCGGGUCUGAGAGGAUGAUCCGCCACACUGGGACUGAGACACGGCCCAGACUCCUACGGGAGGCAGCAGUGGGGAAUUUUGGACAAUGGGCGCAAGCCUGAUCCAGCCAUGCCGCGUGUCUGAAGAAGGCCUUCGGGUUGUAAAGGACUUUUGUCAGGAAGGAAAACCUAUUGGCUAAUAUCCAGUGGGGAUGACAGUACCUGAAGAAUAAGCACCGGCUAACUACGUGCCAGCA
rnacentral:rRNA from 1 species